AAGGUCCUGUCUACAGCGGGAUAUCCUUUCGAAGAGUUGAAGGCAAGUGCUAAGAAAUGGGAUGGACUGAGUCAGGCUCAUGAGCGCUCAUUGAGAAGCUGCAAGCUAAGAAGCGGAAACACACAGCAGAAUGCACAUCGCUAGGGAUCUGGAACUAUGAAAAUUUCAAUGAUGCCGAAAGCUGAUCCAGACAGCAUAACUUUGCAGACUGAAUCUCACAACAGAAUACAAGAAGAAUACACAUGGAUUGGUUGCAAAGGGAAUAGAAAUAGAAUAAAAGAUUUUCUUUGUGAUGAUUGGAAUUCAGUUCAGCUGAUGAUUACCAAAAUAUGGAAUGGUUUUCCAGGGGAGAUUGUUGGAGCAGUCAAUUGAACAACAACAACA